GUUGAAACAAUAAUCCAUAAAAUGAUAAUAAAAAAAAUGGAUUUAGGUGGCUUUUCAUAUUUCAAUCCAAUGAUAUUUUCCAACGCGGCUUAAAUUGUUUUGGGAAAAGAAUGACAGCUUUGAAAAGCCAGUCUGGUCACACGUUGUUAACGAGAAUAACAUCGCACCUGACCGGGGAUGAGACGACUUUGUUUCUUCUUCUUUGGAGGUUCCAGGAACAGCUAUUUGCCUAUUUCUUCUUGUUUUAUCACUCAAUUCAAUUCCACAAGGUGAU
rnacentral:misc_RNA from 1 species